AAGCCCCGGCACCCUUCUGGGGUGCUUCUUUGAACUUGCAUUUCAACGUGCCUCCACCCGCGGGG
rnacentral:tRNA from 1 species